UGCCACAUUUGCGUUUCUAUUCAUUUUCUGUAUUUUAUUAUUAUUACCGUUAAGUGCCACUAGGGGCGCUGUAGCUUAAGAGUGAGCUUCGUAUGCAGAGAAGAGGUUAAUACAGAAGAAGAAGCGAGGUCUCUAGAGAAAGAAGCGAUCUCUCUAGAGAGAGAAAGAUGCAUGACUAAAGUGUGGUCACUAAGGCUAAUAAGAGAAAUAAGAUAAACAAAAAGAAGAAGAAAAAGACUUAAACUAAAUUCCUCUCUCGGUACUCAGCCAACGAGUCUGUAUCCAGAUCAGAUGGUCAAUGUAGCCACCCAGAU